GGUUAUUGCGAACGGACGCUAUGUGACUGCGUACUAGUACUACAUGAGGUUACUUUGAGUUCCUAACUUUUCUUUUACCCCGCCGCUCACGUAGUACUUUGAUUUAUUCCACCAGAGAGAGAGACAUUUAUACGUGUCACCCCCUGCGGUGGCACAGGCUGGGUCAGUUGCAUUGUUUUCAGUGUUUCCCGGCCGUCCCUAAUGUAGUGACCGCGUGUGUUUUCGUAUUUCCGCCCGGGCUGGAGGCGGAGCUACGUGACACCCACAGCUGAUUCUAAUCAACCCCAUUCAGUUGUUUGUUUUAUUGCUUAUUAUUGUUUGAUGCCGCAUGCUACGAUAAAGCGUGGACAAUUAAAGACUUGACGUCGCACUCACCGCUCUUGUCCUCGCCUCUUUUUGGGAUCCACGGCAGUAAUCCACGACAUUGAACAGUCCUGAGUGAGAUCCGCUGGCCAACGAGUCUUUGUGGGGACCAGGGAGGAGGCGGCCAUGUAUUGCUUCAACAACGCUGGCUUCUAUUCAGCCUUUCGUCCGCUCGUCUCUACAAGAUGAGGUGUGCCCGUCUCGCAAAGAAGUACAGUCCGUGGGACCUUCACACCUGGGUGGACUUCACCCGACGGAGAGAAAGCCGCACCCCCCGGUGGGUGGGGCAAGGCGGGGCGGUGCCGCCGCUGUCGGCAGGCAGGUCUAGACCGAGCUGACGGCCGAGUAAAAGCUGAGCGCCGCGUCCUUGGACGGGAAGGAUUUCCGGGCGGACGCCACCAAGUAAGGGUUCCCUGUGCAGGCGCGGUGCUCGGUGAUGUACUGCAGCGAGGACUGGCACCCCAGAGCCGUGUAGUUGGGCUUGCAGGUCGUCAGGAAAUGAGGCGUCUGGUUUCCUGUCACCACUUGACCCGCGUUGGCGAAGAUGGUGGUCGUGAAGAGGCCGAAGGAGUAGACGCCUGGCAAUGGAAUUGGACGGUCACGCUGACUUGGAACAAUUUUACUAUUAUAACAAUAAAAUAAAAUAAACAAUACAAAUGUCCAGCUUAACUGUGUAUAAAAUGAGGUCUGACUCAGUUAAGUUAAAGUUAAAGUCCCAA